CUGGGGAGACCUCCGUGCGUGGCAUCUCAGGGUCCAGCACCCCCACUGUGUGAGGAAGCCAGGCGGUCCCUCUGUCCCUGCCAAGUGCAAGAGCCACUUCCGGCGGUCACAGGGCCGAGCGCCUGCGACGUGGCGAAGUCAGGGCGCCUCAUCGCCACCGAUGCCGACGGCCACACCCUCGACGGCGUGGCGUCGGAGCGACCCGAGACCGCGAGCACGCCUGCACCAUCCAUACGAUCGACGAGGCGCCAGCGCGACUCGAGCACAUCCCGCCCCGCCCUCGCCGCCCACCGGUGGAGGGAGCCUGCGCCACCGCGGGAGAUGCACCACGCGGCCACCGGCACAAAUGGGGAGCGGCUGUGAGGCGGCACUGCAAGGCGGGUGGGUGGGGAGGGCUCGAGGCAGAGGCCGUGCUGCGAUGCCCGAGUUGGCGCAGCGCCGCGCCGGCGUGUGUCUACGGCUGCUUCGCGCCACGCGACGGGUGGCCUGUGGCAGGGCAGGGUCGGCGGCUCGAGAGUGGAACGGGCCCUCAUGUUGUGUGGCCGAAUGGACGAAACGAUAACCAAAGUUGAAUGUGGAUGUUAUAGGGAGGUACAAGUGUCUUUGUUUGCGCGUGGUGUCUGCAUCUCUCUGAGUCUCUCUCCCUCUCUCCUACUUUCACGGAGUGCGUGUGCGCGGGCGAAGGGGGUACAUGAGACUCAUAAGGAGAGGCGGGGGGUGGGGAGGAGAGGGAGGGACUUGCAAAAAAGCGCAAAAAAGUAUUCAAGAGGUUCAACGGCUUACCGACGCGCAGCUUGCGAAGGCGAAGCGCGGAGCAAAGCGAAGCAAACAACAACAGCAAAAAAAUGAUGUCACCAAAGCAUGCCGCAAGAACAACCAUCCGAUGGCUUUUGUGCGCCUCCGAGGUCCGUGAAGAGCGUCAUCAGCGGCUGGCGUGUGAG
rnacentral:misc_RNA from 1 species